UACAGAGGGUUCUAGCGUUGUUCGGAAUUACUGGGCGUAAAGGGCGCGUAGGCGGCCCGCUAAGUCAGACGUGAAAGCCCCGGGCUUAACCUGGGAACUGCGUUUGAUACUGGCAGGCUAGAAGACGGAAGGGGAAAGCGGAAUUCCUGGUGUAGAAGUGAAAUUCGUAGAUAUCAGGAGGAACACCGAAGGCGAAGGCAGCUUUCUGGUCCGAUUUUGACGCUGAGGCGCGAAAGCGUGGGGAGCAAACAGG
rnacentral:rRNA from 1 species